GAUGAAGAACGUAGCGAAAUGCGAUAAGUAAUGUGAAUUGCAGAAUUCAGUGAAUCAUCGAAUCUUUGAACGCACAUUGCGCCCGCCAGAAUACUGGCGGGCAUGCCUGUUCGAGCGUCAUUUCAACCAUCAAGCCCCCGGGCUUGUGUUGGGGACCUGCGGCUGCCGCAGGCCCUGAAAACCAGUGGCGGGCUCGCUAGUCACUCCGAGCGUAGUAGUUACAUCUCGCUCAGGGCGUGCUGCGGGUUCCGGCCGUUAAAAGCCUUUUACCCCAAGGUUGACCUCGGAUCAGGUAGGAAGACCCGCUGAACUUAAGCAUAUCAAUAAGCGGAGGA
rnacentral:misc_RNA from 1 species